GCCGUCUGGUGUAGUGGCUAGUUAGUUGCCCUGAUUGCUAUGCCGAUGGUCCCGGGUUCGAUUCCCGGCUGGGGCA
rnacentral:tRNA from 1 species